UCACACAGCUGGAGCACUGCACUGGAUGGCUACAAGCUCUUCAGAAGAGACAGGAAAGGGAGAAAAGGUGGAUAAUAUAUAUCCACCCUUUAUAGUAGGGAGGCCUUUGAUGCCAUGGAAAUUAAAACCAAUGAUGAUGAAGUUGAAUGCCUAUGGGUAAGAAUUAACAGGAAGACCAACAAGGCUGACGUCCUGUUGGGAGUCUGUUGUUGACCACCCAACCAGGAAGAAGAGGAGAAUAACUUAUUCUACAAGCAGCUGGAGGAUGUUUCAGGAUCACCAGCCCUUGUUCUUGUAGGUGACUUUAACCUACCAGACAUCUGCUGGGAACUCAACACAGCGAGAAGAGGCGGUCCAGCAGGUUCUUAGAGUGUGUGGAGGACAACUUCUUGUCACAGCUGUGCUCUGAAGGAACAACAUCACAGCUGGACACAUUUUCUGAGGAUUGUAAAUUUUUUACUGAGGACUCUAAGGCUUUAACCUUGUUAUUUCUUUACUUCAACUGGAAUAUUCCACUCUACUGACACAAGCUUCUUUCCACUUGUCACUCAGUCUACACCUCAAGGCCAACAAGGUUCCUCAUUCAAGAACUUCGUCUCAAGUAAUCUCUUUACUCAAACGCUGAAUGGCACCAUUGAAAUGGCCCAAUACAAAUGGGCCAUUCCUUUAUUCAAUGGUCAAUCCCCUUCUCUCUCACAUCUCAGAUUAUGAACACCAUCUUGAUUUGAUACAGGGCGAAAAGAAACAAGUGUUUCCAUAGGAUUUCAGCCUGACUUUUUCUUAAGAAACUUGAUUUCUUUGAGUGUCAAGCUCCCUUUGAAUAGUGUUUUAAUGGAUCAUUAAGAGAAAAGAGUCUAAAAUCUUACUCUGUUGCUCUGAUAAAUUCAGUAUCUAUGAGAGAAAACUGCAAAUCAUUCCAAAAUGUCUCAAUAAUAUUUAACAGAGAAGAUGAAUGUUCACCUGAAGUCUGAGCCUACUUACACAAAAUUUAGAUUCCUGAGUCAUCUAUUUUGUCUGUAAAGUUACUAAUGUGAAAAGAUGAUUACUGCUGUCACAAGAGCUCCACUAACAACUUUACCAUUAAUAUUCUUAUUAUUUCCUUACAAUAUAAUUUGUUACAGUGUCAUCCAGGUUGAUACUCUGUAGCAGGUCCUUCUGCCCCCUGUGUCUAUUCAGAGCCUUAGACAUGAACGGGAAGGCAAAACCAAAUAGAAAUUCAAUUAUUCUCCUGCAAUCCAAACACCGUAUCUCUGAAAAUGGCUGUACCUUACAAAGCAUGAAGUCAAUAAAGUCAGUAAAUGCAUCAUAUUUAUAACCAGAGUAACCUGAUUUUGCAGAGAUGCAAUGAGGAACUAGUCAAAUAAAAAACUCACAGCAUGGAAACUUAUCAUAAACUCAAAGGAAAACAAUCAGGUAGUCAGAUAUCUAUACACUAAUACAUAUCCAGACAGGAUUAGUUAUGAUGGUUUGCUCAUUUAAUGAUUCCCAAAGCCUUCUUUAUUUUGUAGCUUCUAACAACCUUUUUAAAAACCUCUUGAGACCUUUCUCUAAAUGAGUCAUUUCUUUCUGGGAAAAAGGAAGAAAAAGGUGCACGGUACAAAUACUACAAUAAAGAGAAAUAUUACUUGUA